CUUUUUUCUUUUUUGCUUCAUCUUCCAUCAACUUCUCUUCCUCCAUUGACACUAUUCACCUUCUUCUUCCCCUUGAUUUUUCUUCUUCAUCUCACCAUUUCUUCUCAUAAAAAGCACUUUUCUAAGAUUCUUAACCUUCCCUCAUCCAUCUCUAUCAAUAUUUCUUUAGAUCCUUGUAUUUUGAGCAUUUUUAUCACACACCCAUUUUGGUGAAACCCAUUUUCUAAACCCAUUUUGUUUGCAUCAAAAUGGCUUCUUCCUUCGAGGGAUCUUCUUUUCUUUCUUUUCAUGGUAAGAAAUAUGAUCCAACAUUUGAGUGGAAUGAUGAUGAUGGACUUCUUCAAGACACUAGGGCCCAUGCUCCAUAUUGUCAUGUAGACACCAAGGUGAGUUUUUUUUUUUGGAAAAAUGUUGUUGCAUGUUUCAUUGAAAGUUUCAUGGUGAGAUAUUGUCAUUUGGUUAUUUUGAAAUUUUUGGGGUAUUGCAUGAUUGGCCAUGUUUGAAAAUGUUGGCUUUGGAGCAUUCUUGAAGUGUCAUUUUUUUAUUUGAUCAUGGUGUAACUUGGAUAAUUUUGGUGGCUUAUGGAAUUUUGACAAUGUAGGUAGAUUGUGAUGUUGUUGGAUAAAUUUUGGUUUGGAUUUUGGGGGUAUUGGUAUUGUGAAAAAUUUGUGUUGGGCUUAUAUGAAUGUGUUCGUGAUAUAUGUGGGAAAAGUUUAUUGGUAUAUGUAAACUUUGUUUUAUGGACAUGGCAAAAUUUUGUGGGUAUGUGCAUGGAUAUAUUUGUGGGUAUGGAAAAUUUUGUGGGUAUGAAAUUUUGACUUAUGGAAAAAUUUUGUUGGAUAUGUGAUGUUGAUUCUUUGAAAAUAUGUGUGGUUAUGAUUAUGGCUAUGUGAGAAUUUAUUUGUGCAUGAGCUUGUGGGGAUUUUUUUAUCUUGGACAUGUAAAAAUUUUUUUAUGGCAAUGGCUUAUGGAAAAAAUUGGUAAUUCUACAUGGAUAUGUGAGAAAUUUUGAUUGUAGUAAAAUUUUGGUGGGGCAUUGAUUUGAUUUUGUGGUAGUGGGACAUUGGUUGUAAGAAUAUUUUUUGGGUAUGGAAUUUUUGGUCACGUGGGUUUUUGGUCAUAGAAAUUGAUGAGCUGAACUUUUGUGUUGCAAAGUCUUAAGAGUCGAGGUAGUCUCCAAAUGUUAAAAAGUGCAUGGGUAGCAUUGUCUCCUAGCAUCAAAAACAUCAUCAAUGAAGCAGGUUUUGGCACUUUCUUUGAAGCUCUGUUAAAUCAUGAGACACAUGAAUACAAACAUCUUCAGUUACUUCUUCCUUUGGCGGAGCGCUUCUGGGACACCACCUGUACCUUCCAUUUUCCAGGUAUUGAGGAGGUAAUGUUGACACUUUAUGACUUCUCUGUUAUCAUUGGUCUGAAGUUGGGUGGUAAAAGAAUUCUUGUCAAUAAUUCCCUUACUUCAGUUGAGCUUAAGAAACUUCUAGGUGUAAUGCCUUCCAGAAUGAAGAGUAACAAUAUUCCUUUGCCUUGCCUAUGUGAGAAUAUUCCCUAAUGUGAGACUAUGGUAAAGGGUGCCCGCAUAUUCAUGCUUCUUUUUAUUAGGACCUUUUUGUGUCCGGAUUUAGGCAAUACUGUGAAUCUACGCUACUUGGGGAGCUUGAGAAAAAUUGAACAAAUCUAGAAUUAUGAUUGAGGCAGCAUGACCUAUGCUACUUUGAUGCAUUUCAUGACCAAACUCUCCAAGCAAAGUCUUUCAAGCUUGGGUGGGGCUCCAUUUGUAUGGCAAGUGAGGUUUGGUAUUUAUUUUGGCUAUGUGUAGGUUGUGGAAAAUUAUUUUGGCUAUGUGGUAAUGAUGUUGUGAAUUUUUCAGGUUUGGAUGUAUGAGUACUUUGGGGUUGGUCUUGAAAUUCGAGAAGAAGUUGCUGACAUCUUUCCUAGAUUUUUGCGUUGGUUGCCCAAACAUCGUUUGUCUAUACCUUCUAGGCGUUAUUUGGAAAUUUGGGACUUGGUGAUUGAUAAUUUGACUGUUGAUGAUAUGAACUUAAAUCCUUGGGCUAGAUGUGAGAGGUAUGCUAAGUGUGAGCGGGCGCUAGAACUAAAUGGCCGCCAGGUAUUGAUUGAGUGUGGGCAUGGAAAGUACUGGAAUCUUGGUGAUCAGGUGUUACCCCAAGUUGAACAUGUGUAUCCUCCUACCACAAUUCCAACUCCUCCUCGACACACUGUUCGGUUGGCUAACUUUCUAGCCGAUGAAGAGAUUGCUUAGGCCUAUGAUGGCUACAUCGUUGUAGGAGUAGAAGGAAAUUAUUCUGAAUUUGUUCAGGAUCAUCUGCAAGGCUGCUUGGUUGGCAGAAUGGAGAGGAAGGGGGAAAGGAAGAGGAAGAGACUCCCUCUCCUCACUAUGUUGGUAGCUCUUCUAGUUCUUUCACAGAAACUUAUCCUCAUUUUCCGGCAUGGUAGUAUGAUGUGGUGAAUACUGAUGGAAUGUAUAGUUCCAUGCCUUUGACUAGGCUAAAGCACAUACCAAAUGUUCCUUGGCCCGACCCGGUAUGUUCUUGAAUGUUUAGCUUUUUGUCCUUAUUUCUUCUUAGCUUGAUGAAUGGCUUUGGUAGGGUUGUGUUUCAGGUUGAUGUGGAUCAUGUUGAGGAGAGCAUGCGCGGAUGAAUUGGAGGCUUGCAAUCAUUGGCUCGCACUCAAUCUUCCCAAUAUGUGCUCAAUGAUGCGAGCUAAGCAUAUAGAAUGGAAACUGCUGAUGCUGCCAGAAGAACUUUAGAGGAAAGGAUCAGGAGCCUUGAACUUGAAAAUCGUCAGUACGAUCCUCACUUUUUCGCAAGUCGGGAAGAAAAUAUUGAAGGUGGCUCCUCUAGAGGUGGAUCAAGGAGAUCCUCACGCAGGCGAACUCGGAGUCCUAAUGAUGUAUGACUUGUAUUUUUAUUUUUCUUGCAAAAGAAAAGGAAGUAUUCCUUAGACAAUGUUGUAUUAAUUUCAAUAUUUAACUCUUUGCCCCUUGAAUCAUAUAGAGACUUUAACUAAGACAAGUUUAGAAUGAA